UUAUCCAAAGUAUAAUUCCUAAAGUCUCUUUCACCCAUGGAUUGAAGAAAGUCCAAUCGGUUGUCGUUUAUCGGAGUUGGUAGUGGUCAUUUUCACCUAAAAACAUACUCAAAACCCUAGAUAGAAUAAGGGAAGUUGAAGAGUCUACCUCCCGUUGCUGUCAAGCCCGUCAUCCGAUGAAGCCAUAGUCGAGCUAUUUAGUCCUUGCUCCCCGAUGAAGGUUUUAACCGGAGGGAUUUACGAUUGAAAGUUUAAAAAUGAAAGGAGGAGCUUCCUCUUUUAUGGAAGCCCUGAUCUCUUCUAUGGACGGGUCAAAAGGGCGGGUUUCCUCGAUCAGUGGAAACAAGGCUGGCGACGAAGCCAAUAGAGGUUCGCUGGCAGAGGGUAGUUGGGCACAUUAAAUGAGAUAAUUAAUGUCUUGAUUUUUUGGGAUAAUAUUUAAUCGACUCAACGACGACGACAUUGGCUCGAUAUGGCGGUGGCGAGAAUCCGAGUAGACGCGUGAAAGCUCUGGCGGUGACUGAAA